AGCUUUGUGGCGCAGCGGAAGCGCGCCGGGCUCAUAACCCGGAGGACCUCAGAUCGAAACUGAGCAAAGCUA
rnacentral:tRNA from 1 species